rnacentral:rRNA from 1 species
AUUGAACGCUGGCGGCAGGCCUAACACAUGCAAGUCGAAUGGUAACAGGAAACAGCUUGCUGUUUCGCUGACGAGUGGCGGACGGGUGAGUAAUGUCUGGGAAACUGCCUGAUGGAGGGGGAUAACUACUGGAAACGGUAGCUAAUACCGCAUAACGUCGCAAGACCAAAGAGGGGGACCUUCGGGCCUCUUGCCAUCAGAUGUGCCCAGAUGGGAUUAGCUAGUAGGUGGGGUAACGGCUCACCUAGGCGACGAUCCCUAGCUGGUCUGAGAGGAUGACCAGCCACACUGGAACUGAGACACGGUCCAGACUCCUACGGGAGGCAGCAGUGGGGAAUAUUGCACAAUGGGCGCAAGCCUGAUGCAGCCAUGCCGCGUGUAUGAAGAAGGCCUUCGGGUUGUAAAGUACUUUCAGCGGGGAGGAAGGGAGUAAAGUUAAUACCUUUGCUAAUUGACGUUACCCGAAGAAGAAGAACCGGCUAACUCCGUG